UGUUCCUACGGGGGGCAGCAGUGGGGAAUUUUGCGCAAUGGGGGAAACCCUGACGCAGCAACGCCGCGUGCGGGACGAAGGCCCUCGGGUUGUAAACCGCUUUCAGCAGGGAAGACUUUACGACGGUACCUGCAGAAGAAGCUCCGGCUAACUACGUGCCAGCAGCCGCGGUAAUACGUAGGGGGCGAGCGUUAUCCGGCUUCAUUGGGCGUAAAGCGCGCGUAGGCGGCCGCCUAAGCGGGGCCUCUAACCCCGGGGCUCAACCCCGGGCCGGGUCCCGGCC
rnacentral:rRNA from 1 species